rnacentral:rRNA from 1 species
UUAAUACCGCAUAAGACAGUAGCUGGGCAUCCAGCAGCUGUUAAAGAUUUAUCGAUGUAAGCUGGGCAUGCGUCCAAUUAGCUAGUUGGUGAGGUAACGGCUCACCAAGGCUAUGAUUGGUAGGGGAACUGAGAGGUCAAUCCCCCACACUGGCACUGAGAUACGGGCCAGACUCCUACGGGAGGCAGCAGUAGGGAAUAUUGGGCAAUGGACGCAAGUCUGACCCAGCCAUGCCGCGUGCAGGAUGAAGGCGUUAUGCGUUGUAAACUGCUUUUAUACAGGAAGAAACGACUCUUGCGAGAGG